UUAACUAAAACCAAAAAAGAGGUAAAUUAUUGUUAAUAAUUUUAUUGAAUUCCUAUCUAUAAAUUCUAGUUGAA
rnacentral:tRNA from 1 species